GAAGUCUGCAACUCGACUUCUAGGGAACUUGCGUUGGCCAUUAGCACCCAUGCCUUGUCGCUACCAAGCUUCUUCACUCACUCCAGCUCCUCUAUGAGAUGGCACUGAUUAUUGAUGUGGUCCAUAGCACUCUUUCUAUGGACCUAUCGGAGAUGAGUAACUUCAAUUGUAGCUUCAGAAAGCUUCUUCAAAUUUUGAAGCUUACCCUCUGCUUUCUUCAGCUUCUUUUUAGCCUGAUGAAGCUCUCUCUCUUUAGGUCCUUAAUAAUGGGUUUUAAAGGAAGGCCCUGGGGUAGCAAUGUGGCAUCGUCAGGGAGUAGGCGAGUUUAUGAUUAUUCCUCGCACGAUGAGCAUUCUAAAAAUGCAAACAUGCCACAGGCAAAAAAAAAGAGGCUUU
rnacentral:rRNA from 1 species